AUUGAACGCUGGCGGCAGGCCUAACACAUGCAAGUCGAACGAGUGGCGGACGGGAGAGUAAUGUCUGGGAAACUGCCUGAUGGAGGGGGAUAACUACUGGAAACGGUAGCAAUUACCGCAUACCAUCGGAUGUGCCCAGAGGGGAGUAGCUAGAAGGUGGGGUAAAGGCUCACCUAGGCGACGAUCCCUAGCUGUUCUCAGAGGCUGACGGGUCACACUGGAAAUGAGGCACGGUCCAUGCUCCUACGGGAUGCAGCAGGGGGGAAUAUUGCACAAUGGGCGAAAGCCUGAUGCAGCAAUGACGCGUGUAUGAAGAAGGCCUUCGGGUUGUAAAGUACUUUCAUCGGGGAGGCGUUACCCGGAGAAGAAGCACCGGCUAACUCCGUGCCAGCAGCCGCGGUAAUAC
rnacentral:rRNA from 1 species